rnacentral:lncRNA from 1 species
UGGAAAACCUUGGACUUCAUCCACUUUCUGACAUUGUAUCAUGAUUCCUGCCCAGGCUGUGGUCUGAUUCUACUGAGGGAGUGGGCAGUGGCAUUGUGAGGUCUGUGCUGCAGGAGGAGUAGGCCCAGGCUGACCACUUCCAGAAGCUAUGGGGGACAGGUCUCUCCCAGUCAUCAUCCUGUGAGGCCUCAGGCACCCCAGACAGCAUGAAUGUUGCAGUAGCAUUGGGUGUCCAGGCAACACUGUCUUAUUCCCAGUAUCCAUGUGCCCAGUAGAAGGCAGCCCUCAGGCCAGCCAUGUAACAAAGCCAGCUGGCCCAGAAUGCCACUUCGGAUAGCUGGUCACAGUACCCCUAGGAUCCACCAGCCUUGGCUGCCUAGACAGGGCACUUCAGAGUAGCAGGGACACUUGCAUGAAGAAGGAAGCUUAGGACUAGGAGAAACAAUUUUAUUUUCAGUCUACAGGUAGGAGAGUAACAUUCUAUUAUGUGCCUUUGCAUAAAUGCAGGAAUAAUAAAAUCGAGAAAAUAGACAAUCUCCUCAUUUCUGAGAGCAAGUGCUUUUAUCUGUCGUGGGUUCUGUCUGUUUUGGAAUUGCGUGUGGCUGCAAAAUAGGGUUGGUGUGAGCCACUAUCGAGAGAGGAUGGCCGGGCUCCAGGGCGCCGGCUCAGCAGCACAGAGCGGUGCAGGCGGCGGCUCUGUACUACUUGCAGCCUUUUCUGCCGCUCAGCAAAGUUGUUCUUCAGGCUCUGUUUCAAUGCAGGCAGGAUGCCUCGCUCUGCAGCAGGCAUUGGGCUCAGAAUUAAGCUAGGGUGGAGAACAAGAGAGUGUCUGCCAGCUGCCUCAAGGGUGCCCUGCACCAAUGGCUGGGCUGGGAGCAGGGCCUGCCUUUUUUUCUGGAAAUCCUUGCCUCCUGUCUCUUGUGGCACCAAGCUGCGGGGCACCCACUCCCUGUGCCUGGGACUCACCACUUCUUACUAAGGCCCUUGGAGGUGACCUUGGGAAACUGCAUGGUGUCCUGGUCCCUGAGAAAGGAAGUUAGUCGUGAGGUCCACACCCCCUCUAGGCUAGGGCAGGGCGCUGGGUACAAGGCACUCACUUUGGAGAACCCAGCCCAGCCUCCUCAGCUGCAGCUUUGGGCCUUUGGUUCCCUUCCAGGAGUGACUUGAGGUGCCGUAGCUGAAAGGCAGGGAGAGGCGUGUUGGGUACAGUGUCCUGUGCCACUGGCAUUCAGGGUCAUGUGCCUGCCCAGGGCCUCACCUCCUGGGCCUGCAGGAGGUUGGCGUUCCACAGCUGACGGAUGACCACCUCACACUGCUGCACUGUGGUGGGCUUGCGCAGGUGCGGGGGCAGGCUCAUUAAGGGGGCCAUCCCCGUCCCUUGCCGGCCAUGGCUGCCCCCCACCAACGUGGCCCCUGAAUUAGAGGGCUCUGCAUCCUCGUCUCUGAAACAUUAUAGCAGCCCAGAGGCGACCUGUGGGAGUGGUCUAGCCACCCACCCACCACCUCCCUGGGGCAGCACCCAUGCCUGCCAGUGUGGAAGAGGCCUGUUUCCAUUGCCCACUAGCCAGGCUGCCAGGCAACCCCAUCCAGCUUGUUUCUUGCCCAGAGUAGUUCCUGGAAUUGGGACUGUAGAAUAAGAGUCUUGGUUGUACUACUAGGAAACGGGUUACCAAGAGCUUGGUCCUGCUCUGUACUUCCAACCCAUGCCUUCCGAAGAUAGACUGAUCAGACACAGGCCAGCCCAGCCCAGGAAUCCAACUCUGGUUUUUGUUUUUGUUUUGAAAGACAGGUGUGGUGGUACACAGAGGCAGAGGCAGGUGGCUUGCUGAGGCUAAAAGCCUUAAGAGUAAGCUCCAGGCCAGCCAGGACUGCAUCCUAAGAACUUGGUUGCCCCUCCAACCCUCCUCCAAGCAAACACAGAAGACCAAGUCACUUUGUCUCUUGGUCUGUUCUCUAAGAAAACAGUAAUUCAGGGGUUUCCAUUGGUCCCCUGUAGGUGAAGUUAGCCAGGGGUCUCUGCAGGACCCCAGGAGAAAGAGUAAAGUAGUGCUCAGCAUAUGGACGGCAGCCUGGCAGCUCCCUGCUCCCUCAACCCCAUUUCCAUCAAGAUGGAAACAAGGAUAUCAGGGCCACCCCCUUUGCGAAAGAGGGUUUUCAACUCUAGGCAACACCUCCCGCUGACUGCCCAGCCUGGGCCCUGGCUCACCGGACAUCGUGGAAUUGGAGGCGGACUUGCCAGAGUGAAGGCUCCAUGUGGAGAUGCUGCCUGUGGGAAGAUGCAGGGCUCAGCCUGAGAACCCACUCCUGCCUGUUACCUGGCCCUCCAUGUUCGAGCAGGGCUGUUUUCCAUACAGGGAGUGUGGUAAGAAACCCCUCACUCAAGUGUAAGGAACCAGCGGUACAGGGCUGGGGAACCAGAGGCAGGCACCACAGCAACCAUCAACCUACCAGGGGAUGGGGCUGCCCAGGAGCUGUGCUCAGCAGAGGGAGGGAGGGUAUGCAGCCACCUCAUUGUCCCUACUGCACACACGUCAUGCCUUUGGUGUUGAGAGCAAACAAGCAAGCUGUGGCUGGGGAAAGGGCCACCUGUCCAAGUGCCCAGAACUGGUCUCCUCUGGGUUAGCAUGCAGGGCUCCCUGCUGCCAGAUAGGCUUGAGUGAUAACUCCCUGCAAGUCCUACCUUUUUUCUGAGGCUUCUCAUUCAUGAUUAGCUUGUAGUGGAGAUCUGAAAGCAAACAAAUACUCCUUAUCACACUUAAAAUCUACAGCCACUGGGAGCACAAAUGUGGCCUGCUCUUUGGGUCCCACCAGCUUUUUCCACCAACCCUUUACCUCAGGCAUCUCAGACCAGAAAUGCCUCUAGCUGAUCCCUGUCAUCCCCAACACCUGCAAGGUGCCCAUCCACUAGGCCAGGCAGGGGCAGGGCUGCAGGGCUGCUGAAGUGAGACAGGAUGGCUGGCUAGCCUUCCAGGAGCCCCUGGCAAUGGUAAGGUAAGUGGGGUGUGGCAUGGGGCUGGUCAGUCAGACAUGGGGUGAGUCUCAAGCAGAGCCCUAAUGUAAUAAGAUGCCCAGGUAAAGACAACACCAGAAAGAGGGAGAAACCCGAGGCACAGGGCAUGGAGUGGGGGGAAGCAGAGGAACCCUAGCUGAGCUGUAGACAGUGAAAAGCAGUUAUGUCACAGGGUGGCCUGAAGUUCUGAGUAGGCCAAGCCUUGGGGGUGGGGGUCGGGGGUGGGGUGGAGCAGCAUCCUGGCAAUCCCUGCCCAAAAUCUGGAUGUGCUUAGUUGGUGACCCAUUUACUGGAAUUUGCUGUGUGCUGUUUAACUUCGGCAACAGUUUUAAAUAAUGAGCCGGACUACACCCUGCCCUGCACAGAGUGCACAGGAGGGUCAGCGUUCAUUUGGGCUGGUGGGCACAGGAGGACUGAGCCUAUCGGCAGGCCCUACCGAAGAGAAGCCUCCCGCAUCCUUCCCCGCACCCGGAGACUGUUAAGAGUUGAUGGCCGUGACCUUCAGGUUGUAAAUGCUGGGCCAGCACCCAGAGGCUCACCCUUAUUCUCCCGCUUCAGGUGCUCGAUCUCCUCGUGGAGUUUGACUAGCGUCUCCGAGUGCUGCUGCUGUAGGAACUGCAGGCUCUUUUCCAGGUCCAGGAUCCGCUUCUGUGCUUCGCUGAACCCGAGCGGAGGCGGCUGCGUCCCCGCG